rnacentral:rRNA from 1 species
GUAAAAGUCGUAACAAGGUUUCCGUAGGUGAACCUGCGGAAGGAUCAUUAUUGAAUAAACUUGGUGGGUUGUUGCUGGCUUUUAAGAGCAUGUGCACACUUGCCAUUGUUUCAUUCUUUCUCCACCUGUGCACCUUUUGUAGGCGUGGAUAUCUCUCAAGUGGGGAUUGUAUUAUCAUAAUCUCUCUUGGACUUGAGGAUUGUUUAGUAAACUUUCCUUUGCAUUUCCAGCCUAUGUCUAUUAUAACAUAUAUAUAUACACCCCAUUAGUAUGUUUUAGAAUGUUUAUAUUUGGCCUUUUAAUAGGCUUUAAAACAUAUACAACUUUCAACAACGGAUCUCUUGGCUCUCGCAUCGAUGAAGAACGCAGCGAAAUGCGAUAAGUAAUGUGAAUUGCAGAAUUCAGUGAAUCAUCGAAUCUUUGAACGCACCUUGCGCUCCUUGGUAUUCCGAGGAGCAUGCCUGUUUGAGUGUCAUUAAAUUCUCAAUUCCCUCUGGGUUUAUUCUCAGUUGGGCUUGGAUAUUGGGGGGUCAUUGCUGGCUUUGCAAAAAGUCAGCUCUCCUUAAAAGUAUUAGCAGGACUUUUGUUGCAACCUUCUAUCUGGUGUGAUAGUUAUCUACAUCAUAGAUUAUGUGCAGUUUAUUAUGUCUGGCUUCUAACAGUCCAAUUGACUUGGACAACACUCUGAUAAUUUGACCUCAAUCAGGUAGGACUACCCGCUGAAC